GUACACUCCUACGGGAGGCAGCAGUGGGGAAUAUUGGACAAUGGGCGCAAGCCUGAUCCAGCCAUGCCGCGUGAGUGAUGAAGGCCCUAGGGUUGUAAAGCUCUUUCACCGGUGAAGAUAAUGACGGUAACCGGAGAAGAAGCCCCGGCUAACUUCGUGCCAGCAGCCGCGGUAAUACGAAGGGGGCUAGCGUUGUUCGGAUUUACUGGGCGUAAAGCGCACGUAGGCGGACUAUUAAGUCAGGGGUGAAAUCCCGGGGCUCAACCCCGGAACUGCCUUUGAUACUGGUAGUCUUGAGUUCGAGAGAGGUGAGUGGAAUUCCGAGUGUAGAGGUGAAAUUCGUAGAUAUUCGGAGGAACACCAGUGGCGAAGGCGGCUCACUGGCUCGAUACUGACGCUGAGGUGCGAAAGCGUGGGGAGCAAACAGGAUUAGAUACCCGUGUAGUCCCAUGAU
rnacentral:rRNA from 1 species